rnacentral:rRNA from 1 species
UACGGAGGGUGCAAGCGUUAUCCGGAUUCACUGGGUUUAAAGGGUGUGUAGGCGGAUUAUUAAGUCAGUGGUGAAAUCUCCGGGCUCAACCCGGAAACUGCCAUUGAUACUAUUAGUCUUGAAUUCUGUUGAGGUGGGCGGAAUAUGUCAUGUAGCGGUGAAAUGCUUAGAUAUGACAUAGAACACCGAUUGCGAAGGCAGCUCACUAAGCAGAUAUUGACGCUGAGGCACGAAAGCGUGGGGAUCAAACAGG